AGAAGAUUAUGGGGAGAAGUUUGAUG
rnacentral:piRNA from 1 species